rnacentral:misc_RNA from 1 species
GCGCCCUAGGCGCUCCCCCUUAGGGAAGUAUUCUCCCCUUCCGUCUUCAUCUUUCCUUCGUUGAUCGGAGCGACGAGUCGUAAGUUUCAUCGCUCUUCGAGCCUUUUCUUUGUUCUCCGGAGAUUUCAACCGAUAGAACUCGGAGAGGCUCACUCUCGUCAAGAGAUUGACUUCGCCUUCUGCGAGGUUUAGAAGAAACUUUAUCCGACCGCUGAGUAAACAAUUUUGAACCUAUUUGUCGCACGUCCGCUAUCGGUGCUAGGCCUAAGUUCUCGGGCCCCGGCCUCGAACAAAGGCAGUGGAGUUUCAAGCAGCGGAGUUUUAGUGGCUUGAAGGACCCGUUCCCGCUCACGUCCUAUGGGCUCCGGCUCCGGACAAAGCAGGACUAUUUUCGGUUUACAAUAGGGUCCGAUCCCCCUUGUUGUUCUAUGGGCCCCGGCCCCGAACAGAGGCGGCGAUCUUAAACUACUUCCGGCGUCCUCGCUCGCGUCCUAUGGGCUCCGGCUCCGGACAGAGCAGGACUAUUUUCGGUUUACAAUAGGGCCCGAUCCCCCUUGUUGUUCUAUGGGCCCCGGCCCCGAGCAGAGGCGGCGAUCUUAAGCUACUUCAGGCGUCCGCGCUCACGUCCUAUGGGCUCCGGCUCCGGACAGAGCAGGACUAUUUUCGGUUUGCAAUAGGGCCCGAUCCCCCUUGUUGUUCUAUGGGCUCCGGCCCCGAGCAGAGGCGGCGAUCUUAAGCUACUUCCGGCGUCCCCGCUCGCGUCUUGGGAGCUGCGGCUCCAAACGACGCAGCGCGGUCUUAGACAGUCACAAGGGCUAUUCAAUAAGCCAAACUGUCCGAUCCCCCUUGUUGUUCUAUGGGCCCCGGCCCCGAACAGAGGCGGCGAUCUCAAGCUACAUCCAGUGCCCCCACUCGCGUCUUGGGAGCUCCGGCUCCGGACAACGUGGCGCGUUCUUGAACAGCCUCAAGGGCCACACUUAGCACCUUUAUCCCUUUCGUUCGACAACGGAGAUCAGUGCGGCGGUAAUCGUUUCUAACCGAUAUGUGACUUUCUUGGGCUUCUCAGAUGUCAACCGCCGAGAUCGUGGAGCUCCAACGAACGGUGGCGAACAUCGCUACUUCGGUAGCGGUGCUCACCAACCGCCUCCCUCCGUUAGCCACGGAGGAUGUCGAACUCCGACAUAGUGAGCGGAGCAACUCGCCAGACCUGGACCCUUUGGGUCCCGCUGACGAGCCCCAUGCCUGGUUGGGGAGACCGACGGAGGGCCGUCCCCGGGAGGUGGACCCUGCCCUCCUCGACUUCCUCAAAGAGCACUGGGGCCCCGAAGGGCGCGCGGAGCGGUGCAGGGCGGCCCUGACGAGCUUCCCGCGACCGCGGCUCCCCUUCGCCACAGUGCCGGAGUUAAAUCCGGAAAUGAAGGCCCUGGCGAAGGAGAGGAGCCGCCGUCCAGAGGGUGGCUCGGAAGGGCCCGCCAACGUCGCUGCCCGGGACCAGGCACUCCGAGAAAGCCAAGACGGAGUGGCCGCUGCUAUGGGGCCACUGGUUGGCCUAUUAGAGAUUGGCCUCACGGAGGAGGCCAUUGAUAGAAAGACGGUGGCUGACCACGUGGGGGCAGCUACCGCCCAUCUCGGGCGGCUCUUCGCGUCGCUCUCCCGCGAGCGCCGGGAGGGGGUGAUUGCACGAGUGGCCCCAGAUCUCCGCCAGAUGGUGGCCCAUGACGGCGGGGACGAGGGAUCCCCACUGCUGUUUGGAGAGGGCUUCCUGGGGCAGCUGCGAACGCGGAACGAGACCAUCAAGGUCCUCCGGGAAGCCCGCCAACCGCCCCCUCCCGCCGCGGAGCCAGCAGCCAAGAGGUCCCGCAGCUCGGCUGCCCCAGGGACCAGUGCCCAGAGCCGGAGUGUGGGCCGGCAGCCCUUUCACGGGGGGCCCCCUUCCCGAGGCUACACGAGGGGGGCCUACCUCCGCCAGGGACAUCGAGGCAACGGGACACGCGGCAGGACUUAGCGUGGUGGAUCCGAGCACUGAGGAAGACCCCAAGGGACCAGAUCAAGACACCCCCAGUAGUACAGACGAUACAGUCGGACAGCUCGCUGAAGGGGUGGGGAGCAUGCUCGGAGGGGUGGACGAUCGGGCAUCACUGGACACCACUCCAAUCCACUUGGCACAUCAAUGCCCUGGAGCUGAUGGCAGCCUUCCUGGCCCUUCAGCCCCAGUAACGACUGGUCCUGCUCCGGACCUACCUCCUGCCCCGCCUCUUCCCUUGGUUGGUCCCGGGUCGCUGGUCCUGCGGCCUCCUGAAAAAGCUGGACACCAGGGUCAAAGCCUCCACGCCGGCCUGGCUCGACCUCCCCCACGACACACCACUGGGGUACUUCCAUGCCCCGGUGGGGGAGGGUGGGCUAGGAGUGGUGUCCUUGCGGGCCUUAAUACCAUCAAUGCGCCUGCUGCGACUGGACGGGCUGCGGUUCUCCGACCAUCCAGGGUGUGCUCCGGCCUUGGAGCUGCCCCUCCUGGCUGGCUUCCGCCGGAGAGCGCUGGCGGCCUGCUGCUACCAGGGACAGAAGCUCCUCAACAAGAAGUUGGUCCAAAAGAUGUGGACCGAUCUCCUGCACUGAAGUAACGACAGGGCCGCCUUGCGCGACUCCGGCGAAGUCCCGGGAGCACACCGCUGGGUGUCUGAGGGGACCCGUCUCCUGCGUGAACGACAAUUUAUGAACCUGAUCAAGCUCCGAAUAAACGCCAUGCCAACCCUUGAAAGGACCAGUCGAGGCCGUGGUGUGGACGUUUCCUGUCAGGCCGGCUGCCGAGCUCCAGGGAGCCUGGGACUUGUCCUCCAGUGCUGCCGCAGGGGACACCGUGGUAGGGUGAAGAGGCACAACCUCGCCCGCUACGUGUGUAACUGCCUGAAACAGCUUGGAUGGAUGGUCCUCUGGGAGUCGCACUUCCCUCUGCCCGACGGGACACUGAAGCCCGACUUGGUCGCCUUCAAGGAGCAAGACGCCCUUAUCCUGGACGCCCAGGUCGUAGGAACGGGCAUGGGUCUCUGCUUCCUGCACCAUCAGAAGGUGGCCGAAUACUUGGGGCCACUACUGCAACUCUCAGCUCGAGCCGGACGGAGCAGCACUCUACUAACCUCCACCAUCACCCUCAACUUCAGGGGCUGUGUGGUCUGCAGAGAGUGCCCGGGACCUCCUUAGUCUCGGGUUGACGCAAAACGACCUGAAGCUCGUGCGAAGGCAGCGAAGGUCUGACAGGAACGUGCGAACAUUUCUCGGCGAAGGCAGCGAAGGUCAGCACACGAGACCUCUCUUGCCGAGGCGACGCAAGCGGACACGACCGGUCGACUGCUCGCGUCGCAUUCUCAUGUUUAAACAAAUCUAAAAUGUUACUCUGGACCAAAAAAACUUGUUUUUUUCUCAAGUUACAGUUACAGUGUCUGAAAUAAAAAUUGUGACUAUGUUGGUGGCGUUCCAAGCGCGAUAUGCUUGGGCUUUUUCGUCGCGGUGGUGAAACGCUAUUCUAGAACUAGGGAGUUUUAGACAACGUAUGCAAUUUUAGCACACGCUAACGCUAGAUUUAGCGCUUGCGUUAGCGCACGCUACGCAAGAGUUUUAGAAUAACGUUUCUCCGCCGUGACGCAAAAGCCCAAGCAUCUCGCGCUUGCAACGCCACCAAGAUAGUCAAUUUUUAUUUUCACAAACGAAAUGCUGUAACUUUCCUGCCCAGCAUUCCUUCCAGAAACUUCUCUUUCCUAGAAAUUCAAUCACUUUUCUCCGGCCUCCUUUUUAUGAAAGAUUUCACUUCAGCAAACUUUCCCUUGUCGUUUGUUUUGACAACAGGAAUUCAAAAUUCAUUCAGUGGACUUCCUCAGUAUUUCUGCAUGAUGGGCAGGAAGCAAAGGGUGACUACACCAAGCAAUACCCAGAUUUUGGAAUGACUGGCUUGUUUUUAUAAGCUCUGAACCCAAUGACACUGAAACCCCCCAAAACUCGUAUUUUUGUGUACCACGAAUGAAAGCUACAAAAAGUGCAGAAUAUGUGGUAAAAAAAUAAAUUUCAGAAAAGCCCUCCCAUUUUGCACAAACAUAAACUUCGCAAAUGCAGGGCCGUACACAUGGGUGACCAAAAUGGCAACUGGUGAGACAACCGGAAAAUGCCGGAAAAAGUGCCCACCCCACUUUUACUGAAAACUGGGAUAAUCUUGACAUGGGUGCUUGUCCAGUCAAACUGGGCACUUAAUGUAUAAUUUGCUAAAUACCCAAGUUUGUUUUAAAAAUGUUAAUAGUGGGCACUUCCAGAAUAUUUUACGAUAUGUCUCCAGCAGCAAGAUGCGAAAUUUGCCCCCUUGGGAAUGAAGUUGUGAAAGCAGGUUUAUACUGGAGCAUCCCAGCAUGAAGUGCAACAGUCUCUCUCCAGCACGGAGAGAGACACUGCCACGUUUGGGCAGCCCCAAAAUAUUAACGAGGGUUGGUUUCUUCUCACUUGCCUUCUCUGUCACUGUCCGUGGGUCUUACUCAUUUCUUACUGCACACUAUUAUUUUCAAACAAAGUAGGGCAAAGCUGCAUAAGCUUGACGACAAAGGAGAGAAUUGUGCAUUGGUGAGGCUGAACUCGGGCAGCACAGUCAACGAGUAAAACACAACAAACAACCCUCAGUAAAACUUUCUUUUCGGUGAGAUUGAACUGAUCGGGUGAAGGAGUGUUUGGUGUACAUGACUUGCAUCGACGCCAUAUCGGCUGCUGUUUUGGUGACAGUGCGUGUACGUUCAACAGCAUGCAUUUUGCAGCACCAAAUUUGUUUUUCUUGGCCAGAAGCAGGAACGAGCACUAGCAUGGC